rfam:Schistosoma haematobium scaffold546_7, whole genome shotgun sequence.
AUUCAGCCGAUGAGUCCUAAAUAGGACGAAACGCGCAUCCUGCAU